rnacentral:rRNA from 1 species
GAUGAACGCUGGCGGCGUGCCUAAUACAUGCAAGUAGAACGCUGAAGCUUGGUGCUUGCACCGAGCGGAUGAGUUGCGAACGGGUGAGUAACGCGUAGGUAACCUGCCUCUUAGCGGGGGAUAACUAUUGGAAACGAUAGCUAAUACCGCAUAAAAGUCGAUAUCGCAUGAUGUUGACUUGAAAGGUGCAAUUGCAUCACUAAGAGAUGGACCUGCGUUGUAUUAGCUAGUUGGUGAGGUAACGGCUCACCAAGGCGACGAUACAUAGCCGACCUGAGAGGGUGAUCGGCCACACUGGGACUGAGACACGGCCCAGACUCCUACGGGAGGCAGCAGUAGGGAAUCUUCGGCAAUGGGGGCAACCCUGACCGAGCAACGCCGCGUGAGUGAAGAAGGUUUUCGGAUCGUAAAGCUCUGUUGUAAGAGAAGAACGAGUGUGAGAGUGGAAAGUUCACACUGUGACGGUAACUUACCAGAAAGGGACGGCUAACUACGUGCCGGCAGCCGCGGUAAUACGUAGGUCCCGAGCGUUAUCCGGAUUUAUUGGGCGUAAAGCGAGCGCAGGCGGUUAGAUAAGUCUGAAGUUAAAGGCUGUGGCUUAACCAUAGUACGCUUUGGAAACUGUUUAACUUGAGUGCAGAAGGGGAGAGUGGAAUUCCAUGUGUAGCGGUGAAAUGCGUAGAUAUAUGGAGGAACACCGGUGGCGAAAGCGGCUCUCUGGUCUGUAACUGACGCUGAGGCUCGAAAGCGUGGGGAGCAAACAGG